GCAGCGGGCAUACAGAGGGUAGAAAAAUUCAAUAAUAAUGGCUGAGGGUCAGUGUAAAUCACUCUCAAAAAGGAGCUGCCACAAAAGGAGAAG